AGCUCCAAGUCUCUCGAAGGAAUGAGUUCGUACGAGAAGUUGGUUGGAUCGUUGUUUCAAGUGGUGAAUUCGAGACACGCCGGGGAAAGCAUUGUCGACCUCUCUACACUUUCCCCAGCUAUCUUGAUACUCUUCAUAGUUAUGAUGUGAGUUUCUUUCACUCCUCUCCUCAUAUAUCAUGCAUGGACUCAAAUUAUUUAACUCGAAAAAGUGCACUAAUGGACUCAUAUAAUUCACUGUAAAAUGUUCACAUGCACUAUGCAUCUACAUACACAUAGGUGAAGUUACUUAUAACACGUACAAGUUAAGGCAUCUUGCCUUUUUCUUUUAACGAAUAAGUUAAACUAAAUCAAUUGAGAUUGUGCUUUUUAAUACGAUACAAUACAAAAUAAAGGCUACCACAUGAAAGUUGGCUGACUUUAUACUACAGAAACACCAAACAUAUCCUCUGAAUGCGCAUAUUGUCUCACAUAGUUUGGAAAAUUAUUAAAUCAUUUGCCUAACUUUUACAUAAAGUUGAUUUUAACAAAAGAAAGAACUUUCUAUAACUAUAUUCCUAAAAAUUAUUGUUUAAUGUUUACCAAAGCAAACGUUUAUUGUCUUAUCCUAGAUUCUAUAGCACGUAACAAUAAAUCAUGCACUUAUGAGUAGGUGGUACGUGCGUAGUAACGUAGAAGUAUAUAAACACUAUUUUACUAACUUUACGUUGAGUUUAGCCGACGCGGUCCAUUUAGCUUAUAGUACUCUAUGGUUUUAGAAUCAGCAAAAAUAACAAAUGAAAACAUUAUAUAUACACAAAGCAUUAUCUUUGUUCUUCUGUAAAACAAUUCGUGGGACUAAUAAGUUAAAAUAUAAUUGCGUUGACAAGGUAUCUUCCUUCAUACACGUUACUUAUGCCCUUGGCGACAGAACAAAAGACGAUAAAGAAAGAAGGAGAUGAUGAAGAUGAUUCCGAAAAUAGAAAGAAUGUGACAUAUCAUAGGCUGUUCGUGUCACAACUUUCCUUUUUGACGAUUUGUAUCUUUCUCAUUUCAAUCACCGAAAGGCAAAAACUACAAAGAGAUCCACUCAACUUCAACGUCCUUAACAUCACUCUAGAAGUUAUCAGGUAUGUUUUCACAUAUUCUGCAUCCAUAUUACUAUUGUAAAUUCUUCCGGUAUAUAUAUGAUAAGUAAUUUCAUAAUAAAAAAGAGCCUAAAAAUAUUUAGGAAUGUGCUUAAUGUAAGUUAUGAAGAAAAUUUUCUAUAAAUAUUUGGGCCUUAAUUUAUAUAGUUUUGUUAUAUGCAAAAGUACUCUCAACCCAUGUCGGGCUUGUGUUGUAUGUGAUGUGACAUAGAAUUAAAAUAUAAAGGAUACAUUGUAUAUAUAUAUGGGUUUGACCAAAAAGAAGAAAAAGAAAAAAUAUACCAUUUCAUGAAAGCUGUGAACUCUUUGCAUGAUAGUAACAAAAAAAAAACUAACUAUUGUAACGACAGUGCAUUUGGAAAUGUUGGUUUCUCGACCGGGUAUAGCUGUGAACGGCGUCUCAACAUCAGCGAUGGUGGCUGCGAAGACGCGAGUUAUGGAUUCGCAGGACGAUGGAGUCCAAAUGCAAAAUUUGUACUAAUAAUAGUAAUGUUUUAUGGUAGGUUUAAGAACUUCACAGCCAAAUCUGGCCGAGCAUGGAUACUUUAUCCUACCUCUUCCUAACAUCACCAUAUAUAUAGUAAGCACUAGUCUAUCGAAUGUCACGUUAGCUAAGGUUUAUUCUUUUUGUGUAUGAAAUAUGUACUAUAAGAUUUGUUUUUCUUCUUGUUCUCUUUUGUAGUAUAAGUUUGUUUGUAGUUUGCAUCUAUCGUUAUAGUAUUGUAACAAUUUAUGAAAUUAUAAUGCUAUAAUCAAUCAUCAAGGAGUAUUUUGUCAUCUUGUCUUUCCUUUUGUAAUCCUAAUAAUUAUAAACUUUGCAUGCAUGUAUAAUGUAUCAUACAAAUAGUAACCAAUCAUUUUCUAUAUAUAUAUAUAUAAAUAAAGUCAUAUAUCACUUUUUUGUCUAGGUGAGUGAUUGGUUUAAGCGUGAUAUAGAGGAAGAUUGAAUAGUAAAAAAGUGAUAUAUGUUAGUUACUUGCAUAAAAACUCUAAUGAUAAAUUUUGAUUUAUCAAUCAAGAAAGGUGUGAGGAAAAUGUCAAAUGGAUAAGAUUUUGUCGGUUGUCUGAUUUAUUAUCACAACAGGGUGUUAUAAAAUUUAAAGGCUAUGCUGAUCGUUCAUGUCUUUGUAUUCACCCCCACAAGCACAUGUCUCUGUUCGUCAAUUAAUGUUUUAUUUCACCACAUGUUAUGAUUUUGGUCACAGAAAUAAUUUGGAGCAAACAAAUAAUAGAGAAGUUUGGCACGUAAACUGAAAUAAUCAUUUCUUCUAUAUUCAAUUUUCCUCUCAUUUAUAUAGAAUUUUUAUAUAUUUUUUUUUCCGAAUAAUUAAAGAGAUUCUGGACCGAAACAUAUAUAUCCAUUCAGACCCGAAACCAUAACAUGUUAUAUGGUUUCGUUCCAAACGCUACUCGAACCCGCGACCUUUGAACUUUUGCGAGAGAUUUUACCAAUUGAGCUAUUAGCACUUUUUUUUUAUUUUUUAUUUUUUUUUUGUCGACAUAGAAUCUAUAAAUCUUAUUCCUUCGAAACUGGAAAGAGCAAAUAUCUGGAAAAGAACGACGUGCAUGAUAACUAAAAUAUGUCAUAUUGCUAUCAUGUCAGUAAUGGUCCACAUAUUACAUAAGGCUCAUGACAAUGUUCAUGUACGUCUAAAUGUCUAAUGAUCUGUGACUGUAAUAUAUAUAUUUACACACUAAGCCCAAUAAUAAUAAUGCAUAGACAGAGCGACUCAAGAAACUAAAAUGAAGAGAGCUGCGGCGGAACUAGCUAAAAUCCGUUCGCAGCUUACUAAGUCUAGUUUACUAUUCUUUCUAUACGUCAUCUACUUCUUGUUCUUCUCCUUUUUAGGGUUCUUGGCACUUAGACUUACAAAGCCAAGAGUCUCUUCACGUCCUCAUGACUUGGACCUCUUCUUCACUUCUGUCUCGGCCAUUAACAUCUCUUCCAUGUCCACUGUUGAAAUGGAAGUUUUCUCCAAUACACAACUUAUCAUCCUCACUACCCUUAUGUUAUUAGGAGGCGAGAUCUUCACUUCCUUUCUCAGCCUCUACGUUUCCCAUUUCACCAAGUUCGUCUUACCUCAUAGCAAGAUUAGACAUCUUCUGGCCUCUUUUAUUUAUUUGGACCGUCCGGUCGAAGAUGGCCGUAGUGACCUCGAGACUGUAGUAGAUCAUUGUGAGGUUAAUCUUACCAAGAUCGAUGAAAGGGCUUCUAAGUGCUUGUACUAUGUGGUUCUUAGUUACCAUCUUGUAUCAACCCUAGCUGGCUCUGUGUUGCUUCUUGUGUACGUAAACUUUGUUAAAUCUGCGGGAGAUGUUCUUAGUUCCAAAGGAAUCUCACCUCUCACCUUCUCCGUCUUCACCACUGUCUCCACGUUUGCAAACUGCGGAUUUCUCCCCACGAAUGAGAACAUGGUCAUCUUUCGCAAGAACUCUGGUCUCCUCUGGCUCUUAAUCCCUCAAGUACUAAUGGGAAACACAUUGUUCCCUUGUUUCUUGGUGUUGUUCAUUUGGGGACUUUACAAGAUCACAAAGCGAGAAGAGUUUAGUUACAUUCUCAAGAACCACAAAAAGAUGGGAUACUCUCAUCUAUUCUCCGUUCGUGUAUGUGUUCUUCUUGGAUUGACAGUGUUAGGGUUUCUAAUGGUACAGCUUCUUCUCUUUGCCACCUCUGAGUGGAGCUCCAAGUCUCUCGAAGGAAUGAGUUCGUACGAGAAGUUGGUUGGAUCGUUGUUUCAAGUGGUGAAUUCGAGACACGCCGGGGAAAGCAUUGUCGACCUCUCUACACUUUCUCCAGCUAUCUUGAUACUCUUCAUAGUUAUGAUGUGAGUUUCUUUCAAUCCUCCUAUCCUCAUAUAUCAUUGCAUUUGCACGAAAAAAUGCACUAAUAAUGUCGAAUAAAAUAAAAUUAAAACAAUAGAGAUAGUGCUCUUCAUAGUGCAUUAUUUUUUUUUCUUUACACUAUUUUUAAUAUGAUUUUAUUAUCUAUUUGAUAAACGAAUGAAAAUAUGACAAGUGUAGAUAUA
rnacentral:lncRNA from 1 species